CCCUUAGAUGUCCGGGGCCGCACGCGCGCUACACUGAAGGAAUCAGCGUGGCUCUCUCCCUGACCCGAAAGGGUUGGGAAACCCGUUGAAUCUCCUUCGUGAUAGGGAUUGGGGCUUGAAAUUGUUCCCCAUGAACGAGGAAUUCCCAGUAAGCGCGAGUCAUAAGCUCGCGUUGAUUACGUCCCUGCCCUUUGUACACACCGCCCGUCGCUACUACCGAUUGAACGGUUUAGUGAGGGCCUCGGAUUGGUCUCGGCCCGCUCUUUACCGGGCGGCGCCGUUGGUCGAGAAGACGCUCGAACUUGAUCGUUUAGAGGAAGUAAAAGUCGUAACA
rnacentral:rRNA from 1 species